rnacentral:rRNA from 1 species
AAUCGAAGCAGUGAACUUAAGCCCCAGUAAACGGCGGCCGUAACUAUAACGGUCCUAAGGUAGCGAAAUUCCUUGUCGGGUAAGUUCCGACCCGCACGAAAGGCGUAACGAUUUGGGCACUGUCUCAACAACAGACUCGGUGAAAUUGUAAUUCCGGUGAAGAUGCCGGAUACCUGCGACAGGACGGAAAGACCCCAUGGAGCUUUACUGUAGCUUGACAUUGGGUCUUGGUACUACAUGUACAGGAUAGGUGGGAGGCUUUGAAACCAGGACGCCAGUUUUGGCGGAGCCAUCCUUGGGAUACCACCCUUGUAGUACUGGGACUCUAACCAUAGGCCAUGAAUCUGGUCUUGGGACACUGUCAGGUGGGCAGUUUGACUGGGGCGGUCGCCUCCCAAAAGGUAACGGAGGCGCUCAAAGGUUCUCUCAGUACGGUCGGAAAUCGUACGUAGAGUGUAAAGGCAAAAGAGAGCUUGAUUGCAAGACAUACAGGUCGAGCAAGGAUGAAAAUCGGACUUAGUGAUCCGGUGGUUCUGCGUGGAAGGGCCAUCGCUCAACGGAUAAAAGCUACCCUGGGGAUAACAGGCUUAUCUCCCCCAAGAGUCCACAUCGACGGGGAGGUUUGGCACCUCGAUGUCGGCUCAUCACAUCCUGGGGCUGUAGUAGGUCCCAAGGGUUGGGCUGUUCGCCCAUUAAAGUGGUACGCGAGCUGGGUUCAGAACGUCGUGAGACAGUUCGGUCCCUAUCCGUCGCAGGCGUAGGAAAUUUGAGAAGACCUGUCCUUAGUACGGGAGGACCGGGAUGGACGUACCUCUGGUGUACCAGUUGUCCUGCCAAGGGCAUGGCUGGGUAGCUAUGUACGGAAUGGAUAAGCGCUGAAAGCAUCUAAGCGCGAAGUCAACUUCAAGAUAAGAUUUCCCACCGCAAGGGUAAGACCCCAGAAAGACUAUCUGGUUGAUAGGUCGAAGGUGUAAGUGCAGCAAUGUAUUUAGCUUAUCGAUACUAAUAGGUCGAGGACUUGACCAAU